UCUCCUCCUUCUUUCCUUUCCCCGAGUCUUCUUCUUCUCUUCACACUAUCCAGAACUCUCGUCUUCUUCUUCUUCUUCCCCUCCUCCUCCUCCUCUGUUUCAUGUUUCGUUUCUCCUCCUCCUGCCAACUCGUGUGUCCUGCAGCUCUGACGUCCCGACAGCAGGAGUCGUGUGAUCGGAGCUGAGAGUCUACUCCUCGUGUCAGCGGCUCUGAAGCAGACGAGUGCCAACCUUCUCCCGCAGAGCAGCGAUGAUACUGAUCUGAAAUCAGCAGAGUCACUCAUGAAUCAUGCUGACGGGGUCUGGGCGGACACCUCAUGACUCAGGAGCACGACAUGAACCGCCGGGUGCAUCGAUCGCAGAAAACAACACAAACACAGAAGCUGUUAUCAGAUCGGAGUUACUGAGAAAAACUGAAGAUUAAAUAUUAAAAAACAGUCCGGUUUAGAGACCAGGAAGUGUUCAGUCUAACAGCUUUCACCUCUGAGAUGGUGACGGUGAUCUUUGACCUGGUGAUCUGGAAAACAGAAAAACAAAUGCUGAUGGAAAAACUGAAUAUUGUAAUAUAACAAAAACAUGUAAACCGUUUCAGUAAGAGGAUUUACAGCUGUUUCUGUCAUGGUUUGGGGGGUUUGUUAUUUCCUGUUUUAUUUUGUAAGUUUUGCUUCCUGUCGUUGACUGCUUCACCUGCGUCCCGUUGUCUCCCUCACCUCAGUGUGUUUAAGUCUGUGUCCUUUAGUCCUUUCUCAGUUCGUCCCAGUUGCUAUGUUGGUUUUGGCUUCUCUGAUGUUUGGACUUACAUCUGCAUGUUACCUGUUUGGUACCUGCCUACCUGCACCUGCCAGUAAGCGCUAUUACAUCAGCGUGCUGCCUCCUCUGUCUGCAUUUGGGUCCUUUCCUGUUCCCUGUUUGCCAACAUCGUAACAGUUUCUCGGUUCAACAACUGAAUCUUUAUUUUCUAAUGAAAAUAUAAAUGUUGACACUAAACUUUUGACUACAAAAAGCAACAUUUGGCAGUUAAAAUACUUGAGUCACCCAGACCGCCUCUAAAGAUAAGCACAUGUGAAAUGUGAAUAUAUCACAUAAUAAAUGUGUUUAUGAUCAAUCCACGUGCUUUUUUGGUAACAGCAUCUCUGCAUUUCCUGGUGCAGCAAAACAAAUAAAAACAUCCCAACUUA